UUGAUUUGGUAGUCUUCCUACUACGUGAUUAUUAAAGUGAAGGAAAAAAAAAAAGAGCAGCAAGAUGUGAAAUAGUUUUAAGUUUGGAUCAUCAGGUAAGUUAUAUUAUUUUACUGUAUCUUUCUAAAUGACUCGAGAGAAAUGUAACUGUCUAGGUUCAUUUUUAUUGAUGUUCUAAUGAUCCAAUUUAAUACAGAGCUUGUGGCUCUUUUAAUUCUUUGUCUAGGUUCAUUUAUUGAUGUUCAAUCUCUGUCUUGUCUUUGGUGCGACCUAUUCAUUACAUUUUGAUCCCAUUUCUCAGUGAUGGUCAUUUGGUGAACUUUCUCAGUAGGAUAUUUAUCAAUAUUUCCUACUAAUCUUUCAUUUUUCUUGAUUAUGUAGAGAACUUCAAUUUGUGCUUGGAUGAAUUGGCGCCGCAACCUUUUUGUGUUCAACGUUUUGCCUCUACAAUGGUAUGUAGACAAACUUUUUCCAUUUUAGUUUGCAUGAUUCUGAAUGUUCUGAACCUCUAAUAUCCAUUAUACUCCAGAAAUUUGAGACAUGAAUUUUUGUUAUUGAUCAGAGUUCUUAUGAUACCAAUAGAUAUAGUGUUCUUCCCCAGACCAAAAGAACACUAUAUUAGUCAAACACUAUAUACAUUGAGGGCACCAGGAAUCAGUUUCUCGUUAGUUGUUUAAUUAGAUGGUUAAUUUUAUAAUGUUUUUUUGUUAUUAGCCAGCCUCAAUUGCUUUUGUAGUUGUAUUAACAGGUAGUUAACUGCAACGGUUGACCAGUAUAAAGUCCUUAGUUAACAUCUAAGUCCAACAUAUAUGUAUUAUUGCACUCACCAAAUUGUUGCAAUUUUCUCAUGGACUAUGGUAUAUUACAACAAUAUGAUUCAAUAAUACUAUCUCAUAUCCCUCAGAUGCGUAGUGGAUUUUUAUGUUACCUGUAAAUCACAUUCUUAUGUUGAACCAAUAAUAUUUCUUUUCUAUGCAAAGCCUCGUUUGCUAUUAAGCUUCCACUUGUUACUCGGCCAGUGUAAUAUAUAGUUUUUCUUUUCUGGAACUUUAGCUAUUUCCCAUCCAAUCAUAAGUGACUAGGAUCUUUCAGCUUUAUCUGGAGCUCCUUUUGAUUUUGAAAUCUUGUAAAAUGGAGGAUUUCCAAGAUCUCACAGUGACAUAGAAACAAGAAAUCUCAGUGAAAUCUUGUAAGUUGACGUGUGUUAUCACUCAAGAAGCUCCUCAUUUGUUAUAGAAAAAAUGAUAGAUUGUUAAAACUGGAGCUUUCUGUUAUGAUUGCAAAUAUAGCCUGAUAUAUUUCAAGACUAUAAGUAUUCCUCAAAGUAGCUUUUAGGUUUGACUAUUAACCACUCACUUAGGUGGGUUAGUUUGACCUUAUUAUGGGUUGGGUCCAUAUACCUUUCCAAAAACACUCAGCUGAUUUAUUCAUCAUUUUGACUAAGAAUCCAUAAUAUAGUCUUACCCAGAUAACUCACUGUGGGUCGGUUUUGGGGUAUAUAGAUGGUGUUAGUGUACCAAGCUUUUGAGAGUGGUUGGAUAGAUUUGUAACCUUUUAGAGCAGACCUAAAUCGCAUCCUGUAGUCUUUGUUCUGCUUCUUGAUGCAAUACCUUGGUGCCCCUGAGCCUCAUUGAAACAUUUUCUUUUCAGACCUUUAAAAGUAGUGGUUACUUAGUUCUACUCUGUGGUUGUGACAUGAAUAUGCAGAGGAAUUCAAUGAAAUUGCAUUUGGCAGAUGAUGGUUUCGAUUAUUAGCCUUGGCUCUGAGUAUUGCAUAAGAGUAUAGAAUUCAGAUACCGCACAAAAAUGCAAACAAAAGUGUGAUGAACUUAUGAUGUAUUUGAUUUUGGAAUCCUAUGGCUAUACGGACAUAAAUUGUGUUCAAAUCUAUAUAAAAAAAAUCUCCAAUCUUGUUGGAGAACCAAGUUUUGGAGACCUAAUGGUUUGUUGACAUACUCUAGCUGCUUUCUCUAAAAGUGUUUACUCUUGCUUCAGGUUCCAGAGGAGCGAUUCUGACAUCUACGCUCUCUGUUGUUGUUGCGACAACUUGAUCAGCUUCAUCACAGUCACCUAAGAUCUUUUGGCAUGUCUCUACCAGACAGUGUCUGCAUUUCGG
rnacentral:lncRNA from 1 species